AAUAGAUACCCAGGUAGUCCAUGCCGUAAACGUUGGGCACUAGGUGUGGGGGACAUUCCACGUUUUCCGCGCCGUAGCUAACGCAUUAAGUGCCCCGCCUGGGGAGUACGGCCGCAAGGCUAAAACUCAAAGGAAUUGACGGGGGCCCGCACAAGCGGCGGAGCAUGCGGAUUAAUUCGAUGCAACGCGAAGAACCUUACCAAGGCUUGACAUGUGCCAGACCGCCUCAGAGAUGGGGUUUCCCUUCGGGGCUGGUUCACAGGUGGUGCAUGGUUGUCGUCAGCUCGUGUCGUGAGAUGUUGGGUUAAGUCCCGCAACGAGCGCAACCCUCGUUCCAUGUUGCCAGCACGUAGUGGUGGGGACUCGAUGGGAGACUGCCGGGGUCAACUCGGAGGAAGGUGGGGAUGACGUCAAAUCAUCAUGCCCCUUAUGUCUUGGGCUUCACGCAUGCUACAAUGGCCGGUACAAUGGGUUGCGAUACGUGUGAGGUGGAGCUAAUCCCGUAAAAGCCGGUCUCAGUUCGGAUUGGGGUCUGCAACUCCG
rnacentral:rRNA from 1 species